UUUGCUCGGAGCUGGCGUCGUAAUGGGUGCUGAGGGCUGUGUCUUGCUCCUGGUUCCCAUGCUGCUGGCUCUGGCGGCUGCAGCUCUGUUGUGCUGGGUGUUUAAACAGAAAGAGCCACGGCAGACUGCGGCUCCUCCAUGCAUUGGCGGCUGGAUUCCCUGGAUCAGGGCUUCUAUCCGCUUCGGAAAAGCUCCGCUUGAAUUUAUCGAGCAAGCCAGAGCAGAGUACGGAGCCGUUUUUACUGUGGUAGCUGCUGGAAAGAGGCUCACCUUUAUUACUGAAGAGGAAGAUUUUGAGAUAUUUUUUAGAUCUAAAAAUGUUGACUUUCAAGAAGCAGUACAAGAACCUGUAUGGCAUACUGCUUCUAUUAGCAGAAAGAGUUUUUAUAAGAGCCACACGGCAGUUCAUGACAUGUUGAAAGGGAGAUUGGCUCCAUCUAGAUUGCACCUGUUUUCUGCUAAUCUGUCCAAGGAGUUCUGUGAACAUCUCAUGUACCUUGGAACCAGGGGCACUGAUAACUUGUAUGACCUCAUCUGGCACAGUAUGUAUCCUGCAGUUGUGAACAACCUGUUUGGAAGAGGCAUCUGCCCAACCGAUAGAAACACAGUUAGAGAGUUUGAAGAUCACUUCCAGAAGUUUGAUAGAGAUUUUGAAUUUGGUUCCCAGUUACCAGAAUUUUUACUAAGAGACUGGGCUAAAUCCAAGCACUGGCUUCUGUCUUUAUUUGAACGCAUUGUAGCCAAGGUUGAAAAGAUGAAACCCGUCGAUGAUAGCUCAAAGACUUUGUUGCAGCACCUUUUAGAUACUUUGAAUGGUAACUCUACUGCUAAUUACAGUUUAUUGAUGCUCUGGGCUUCCCAAGCCAAUGCACUUCCUAUCACAUUCUGGACUCUCGCAUUUAUUAUUUCAAACCCAAUUGUUUAUCAGACUGUUAUGAAGGAACUCUGUUCUGUCUUUGGUGAUCAAGGUAAUAAAAAGAUCCAACCGGAAGAAAGUGAUCUACAGAAGCUCUCAUACUUGAAAUGUUGCAUUUUAGAGGCAAUUCGUUUGCGAGCUCCAGGGGUUAUAACUAGAAAAGUGGUGCAACCUUUAAAAAUUAAAGCUGGCUUUAAACUCCUUCAGCCUGAUUUUAACUUGGGGACGGAAGUCAAUCAAACAUCCCUUUGGCAGGGUGAGGCACAAGAGACUUUAACUCCCCUCCUCAUCUCUACUGGUCCCAACAGUCUCCUGCUCAAAACCAUUGGAAAGCGGCAGGUGGUUGGUGGGAGGUUGGGAAGCCGUCACCAAGGACCGAAGCAAUCAUCCCUGGCAUCCAGAACUACAUUGUUCCUUCUGGAGACAUGCUCAUGUUGUCAAUUUACUGGGCACACAGGAAUCCCAAGCAUUUCCCUGAACCUGAAAAGUUUCUUCCUCAAUAGUGCAGAAAAAUGUUGUCUUCCUGCAGGACCGUUGGAAGAAGGCAGAUAUAGAAAAACAAGUCUUUUUGGAUGGCUUCAUGGCUUUUGGAGGAGGCAGAUAUCAGUGUCCAGGAAGUGAGCUGCUGUCUAUACCCGAACCAAAACUGCAACUGCCUUCUUUAAGAAACACCCAGAUUAACUAAACAAAGGAACCUUCCAGCUCUCCCAACCCAUCACUGACAAUAUGGCAUGCUUUGGGAUAUCCUCAAACAAAAAUAGUCCGCUUCAUUUAGUAGGAACCCAACAGCCACUGGGUCCUUGCAGAGUUGAAUAUAAGUGUCGAUGACCAUUAUUUACUGCAAGCCUAACCUAACCAUUAUAACUCAAAAAUGGAUUUGAUUGAUAUUUUUCUUUCCUGUACAAUGUAAAAGCAAUAAUCAUGUGUGCUUAUGGUAUGUUGUGCAGAAUUACAUAUAUGUUGGACAACAUAAAAU